UUAUUUGAGAGUUUGAUCCUGGCUCAGGAUGAACGCUGGCGGCGUGCCUAACACAUGCAAGUUGAGCGAUUUACUUCGGUAAAGAGCGGCGGACGGGUGAGUAACGCGUGGGUAACCUACCCUGUACACACGGAUAACAUACCGAAAGGUAUGCUAAUACGGGAUAACAUAUUUGAGAGGCAUCUCUUGAAUAUCAAAGGUGAGCCAGUACAGGAUGGACCCGCGUCUGAUUAGCUAGUUGGUAAGGUAACGGCUUACCAAGGCGACGAUCAGUAGCCGACCUGAGAGGG
rnacentral:rRNA from 1 species